UCGACGGCUCGAACCGCAACACUUGGAAAUAGCGGCGCUGAUGAAGUCGAUGAUUGCGAGGAAAUACUGUAAACGCGGUGCUUGAGGAAAACAACUCCAAUGAAAAGUCAGGAAAAGGACGAUGAACACAACAAUGACGUCAUGUGGACCCAAACCGCUGCAGUCGGAUAUAUUGGCCAACAACGAUCCGAGGAGAUUCUAAUACCUCCCCAACAACGCCAUUCCCCCCCUGGACCCCCGGCAGGCCUCCGACGACCGUCUGUUUGAGAAGUCAACAAAUGACGGCGAAAGGACACGAACACACUCAUUGAGGACGGGGAACACUUAUUAUUCCAUUUAUCGACCGUCAUUUCACAUUUACAUGAUGGUUACGUUAUUCGCCGGUGAUCGAUGCGUCCCGGCGCUUCAGUUUCUAAAGCUGUGACUGACAGUGACGAAUGGAGGUACGAGUGUAAGCAAAGGGGGAAAAAAAAUGGAAUUUUAAUUCAAGACUGACAAGCGAGAGAAAUAAUCAGUCUUGAAGGCCGAGGGCUAAUCAAAAAACAGUUCUUCUCAAACUCAUUACAGGAAAUAUCGCCAUCGUGGCAAAUGUAGAAAUAGAGCAGGUCUAAGAAUUCAUCGCAAAGGUCAAGUGUUUUAUUCGUACUCAGGAUCGGAACCGUCGUUAUUGGCCCAAUGGAAAAAAAUAUGAGCAUGUGAAUCCAUGGAUGCCGAACCGUAGUGGUCGACUGUAGUUUUAAGUUGCGAUAUCACAAGUGACCACUAGAUGGCAGACAUGAGUUGCACUCACGCUGCAUCUUGGCGCCCUUUUUGUAUCAUGACUACGAGUCACCUGCCAUCCCCCCCCCGGUGACAUCCUUGGCCCGCUUCUGCUCUUCCGCCCGACUGCCCGCAUGCACCUUCUUCUUGUUUAUUAAAAAUACAAGCCGGAGCAACCCCUGUGCAUAUGUCGGCUUGCCAUGAAAAGGUGCCGCAUGAAUAUGCAAUUACGGCCAUGAAUUAGUAAAAGGCCAGUAGCCGCCGCCCCCUUAGCAAAUGUUCGGAAAAAAACAUAGCCAAAAGGGGGAGGGCCGCUCCGAGUCACCGGCCAAUCAACGUAAAAUUCCUCGUAGGCCUCGUUAAUGAUUCGUCCGGUGUGGACGCGAGGCGGCAGAAGUGAAUUUCCCCUCGGCUGCCUUGUGUUGAGGGUCAAGGUUGAUAACGGCCAACAAUUCAAUUUCACAGCGGCUGCCUUGAGCAGAGGCUGUUUGAUCUUGCGCGGGACCCUUUGGAACAGCCCUCUCUGCAUAUCCGCAAGCACGUGAACUUAAUCAAACUUUAAUUAGCCCUCUGCCUGGGCCAUAAUUGGCAGUUAAGGCAAGGCCGAGAACCUGCUUCUGCGCAAGACGUGGCCUCAAAGAGUCUCGGCGCUUCGAGAACGCAGUUGGACACGAUCGCCACGGGGAACUUGACAAGGCCCUCGGCCCCCGCUAUCCUAAUCAAUUGGAAUUUAUCAGGGAACCUUUUAUUUCCACAACCAACACGGCAUUUGUGUAAACAGAGGCGGGCGGGCCCAUCACACGAUAAAUUCAUGAAGCCAUUAUAAAUCAAGUCACAAGCCACUAAAUAGCCACAUGGAACUUCAGUGAUGAGUAAACGCAAGCAGGACUGUGCGGCAGGGCUCACCAACACAAUUUGUCCAAGGGGCAGAAUUUUGUGGACCACGUGAUAUUUUCUCUUUGAUCCACAUAAUUAUAAAAUCCAGUCACGGGCCGGAAUGUGCGAUUCGGCAGGUCGAAUUCGGCCCGCGGGCCGCCGGUUGAUCACCACAAGAUGGGAAGGUUCCAAGCGGUAAACAGUAAUACAAAAGGUUUAUGAUCCGAGCCUUUCUGACCCGAUGUGGGGAAAUCCAUGGCAAGCCAAUCUUUUUGUAGGCGCUAUGAUCUCCUGAAUCGAAUGCCCUGAGAAAUGAAAUCAAUGGCCUUACUCACUCCCCGGCCAAAUCAAUCUGGCCAGAUUGUGGUGUGUGGACCCCCUCCGACUAGUCGGGUCAAUAGAGUUAAUGUGAAAAGUGUGCGGGGAGAGACCCCCGCCAACCCCCUUCGCACCACCGCCACUAAAGAACAAGACUAUUUCGAAAGAAUUCAGCGGUGAGCAAUCAGGGAAUGAAGCCUCGACUUUGAUUGACAAACGACAUGCGAUCGGGUGUGAAACCGUUUUUGUCCAGUCUCUUUAUAUCAUUAUUAGUCGUAACUAUAUUAGCCAUAAAUCCGAUUUCAAAAUGGCAUCAGCGUUUUCCCAUCAUCUGAUUGGUUGGCAGGAUUAAAAAUGUUUCCGCGGAUUUUGAUAGACAAAUAACAUUGGUAUCAAUCUCUACAAAUUAAGAGUUGACUCAUUCAAUACUAAGAACGACUUAAAUCGCUCAUUAGAAUCAAUAGGUAUCGUUUCUGUAUUGUAUCCUGGAAUCUAUCGUAUUCUAUGGCACCCGCGCUGCCACAUUUGACUUUUCCUGCAGGAUUAUGCUUGAAUUUGAUCUGAACAAGUUUAUUCAGCUUUGGCUGUGUCUGAUACCGCCUCGCCGGUGUUAAGAAGGCUCAAGCGUUCCCUCCCUACGCUUUUUUUUGGCUUAUCCGCCCCCCCCUCACUUACAUUCAUCCAUUCUUCAGUUGUCACACGGAGACACUGAACGCACAAUCGCAGGCAAAUCCACACCAUCCACUCCAAGUAAGCCAUCUUACGUUCCUCGUUACAAACGCUUAGGAAAGUCUUCAUUCAAAGACACGCUCUUUUGACUGACGGCGAGUUCAUUUCACCGUUUAACUUUAGCUCGCGCUAAGUGAUGGCAAAAUGAGGGCAAACUUAGAAGACUUUGAAAGGCUGUCAUCGAUUGUCGGCGUGGCGCCAGGCCGGCCCCCGAGCUGUCGCGGCGUAUCGCUCCGGUAAGCGUUUGCGAACGAUCCUACGUGCCCGAACAGAGCUGUCUGGAAAUCCCGCCGCCCGAGCACAACAAAGCUACUUUUCAAGGGCAGAGCAUUAGGAUUCAAGGAUAGCGCUCGGCCGGACUCAUCACCCCCGCUGGGCGGCUAAAAAGUAAUCAUAAAAAUAAGGGGCUUCGCUUUGAAGAGCACGCCUCGCCAACUCGUCGAUCCACGGUAUUGACCCUUCCUACUUUUAUUUGACAAUGUUCCCGUUCUGGGCUUAAAUGACUGCGAGCUCAUUGUUAUGCUAGCCGCGGCGCAGCGGGCUGUCGUUAGUGCUGAUGCCGAGAAUUUCCGCAUUGAUUCCACCGCUGGGAUUUACUGCGAUGCAAAUGUGUUUGCGUGAUGGAGAGAAGAAUAGGAACACCUCGUGGUGUCAAAAAGUAUUUGCGCCCGCACACACACAAACACACACAUCGUUUAUUGCCGAGCACAUAUACGCAAGCGCGGCUUUUGACGGGGCCCCGCCGCCGACGUAAACGAGCAAAGCUACCCGCGUUUCCACAAAGUCUAUCAAUUACGGCAUCUCGGCGGAUCGGGCUCCCACGCGCUCGCUCUUAAAAAACAUCGACAACUUGCGCCCGCCGUACGCGUGAGAACCGGCUUCCCCUUGAAGAAAGCUCCGGAAAAGCCAACAUGAGUAGAAACAACUCGGGCCGCAGAGAGAGAUUAGCAUGCGGCGGAGGAUAAUUCCCCAGUUUUGUAAUUACCAUGCAGAUUACGCCGCGAUCGGUCAUUGGAGAUUGAUCUUCACCGAGACGUCCUCGUUUAUUGAUGAGGCGACCGUACUGUUGCGUUGCGGUUUUUGCUUUGGAAGUAAAAUCAAAUGUUGAUUGCGCGUAUGUCAGCGACGGGCGCAUCUAUUCCUCGCCCGGGAAAAAAAAAUAAAACGCAGCGGAAAAUCAACGACGUGAUGAAGCAUUUGUCAGGAGGGAGUCAUUGGUGAAAAAUUCAAACUCCAUCCGCAUAUUAUUCUUCCCAAACAAAAGUUGGGCACCGCUGGAAAUAUGCAAAGCAGAGUUACCGCGUAGAUGUUCCAUCGCUCUUUCCUUCAAAGGGGGGACGAGAUUUUGUAUUGAACUGUCUGCAGAAUUUCAAUCCGGUAGAAGAACUGCAUUACCACACCGCGAGUGUUAGCACGGUUCCCCGAGCGCGUUAUAUAACUAAAACAAUUCCACGUUUUCGACACAAACCACUGCAGGUGUUCUUUGCAUUUGUGUAGGCCACAAAAGGGCGCGUGGGCUUAGUCGGCGGCGCGUCGGCUGUAUCGGCAUGCACAUGUGCUGAGUGAGUCUGAUAAACCCAAUGUGAGGUCACCUUGCUAGAUGAUUAAAGGCUGCUUACGAAAAGAAAAAAAAAAAUCAGUUUGCGGUGGAAAAAGAACAAUGCUAGAUGCUUUAUCAGACGCAGCCAGAACGCAACGCUUGAGAUGAGGCUUAUUUAUGGAGGUCCUAUAGGUGAAAUGCCUUCCGAAGAUAAGAUUAAGAUCACGCUCGGAAAUCCCUACCACGGCAGGGGGGGGCUUUUAAAAGAAAGCAGUUGGAGCUCUGCAGCUUAAGUUUCGAAUUCGUCACACCUUUUCUCUGUAAACAGCAAAAACGGAGGCAAAUGAAACAAACGUGGAAUACGAACAGAGCCCUGCUGCAUCCCUCAAAUGUUGGUGGUUGCCCUCAAUUGUACUGAGCUACGAAAGGGACAGGCAAAGAAUCCAGCCUCCGGAAUGUUCUCACAGGUUAGCGACUGCGUGGCGCUGACGACCCACAAGGACUCCAUCGAUUCUCCUUGGCCUGAACGCGGGAAAAAUACCUCUGUGAACGCGUACGGCGCAUCGGUGAUGCUUAAGAAACACACCAUCUGUCAUUAUUUUGAAUCCAUCCCACCGGAGUUGAAGAUUGAGCUCGAUCUUGCGUGUAGCGAGUGCUUACGCGAGUAUUACGCACGAUUAAACAAGACAUUGUCGCAACAGCAAUUAACGCCACGCACAGAAACGACGGCACGGGAACAGAAAACAUUUUUGAUAUGAUAGCUGCAAUUUACAAGCUUACCGUGGCAUGCAAUCAAAUUGUUGACAAUACGAAAAGUCAAAGGUCACGGGAUAGUGGCCAAAGUCAUCAAUAGACAACAAACACCGAAUGGAUGUCGUCAAAGUUGUCUAUCCGGACGUUGCGGGACUGCUCGAAUGACAUCCAAUAGUUGGACCUUUAUUGGCGUCAAAUUUCCGAGCCUUUAACUCCUUCACUACCAUUGACGAGAAUAGAUGUCAAACAUCACUUUGUGCUGGGCUGCCAUUGACGAGAAUUUACAUCAAACAUAACUUUGUACUGCGCUGGUAGUGAAUAAGUUAAGUGCACCCUAAAUUGAAAGCACUUGCCGCGUACAAAAAGAUUAUCAUCACGAGCUCAUCCCUGCCCUUCAUUUUACAGUAAUUGGCCAUCUCCAUAAAAAAAGGCAUUUACACCAUUCAAAGCCAAAUAAAACGACUUUCCUGGAUCCACCGGGUGAUUCAAUUGACAAGAGUGUUUUUUUUUUAA